rnacentral:lncRNA from 1 species
CCCAUCUGUUAAUGGGAGGAGAAACGGAUGGUUUUAGGAAGUCUGGAUCAUGUGACUGCAAAGGUUCUGCCCAGUGGUCUUGUGAGCUGGAAAACUUAACUGCCGCAACGCCUGUCCUUCCUGUGGCAGUGUGCAGUUGUUAUCAAAGCAUAACCUGACCUAAUUCGGCUGACACAACUUCUGUUUUGAUUCCUAUUCUUCCCCAUCUAGAGACAGCUACCGUCAUGAAGUUGUUGGCCAUCUUUCCAUGCCAUUGUGUGGAAAAUGCACCUGCACUCUCUAGACAUUUCUUAAAUGAAACCUUUCAUCCUGUAUAUAAAGGAAUUAUGAUGAAGCUAACUAAUAUUCUUUUAUACUUCUUACUUUUUUUGAAUCUAACUCGAAUAAUUUUUACUUUUUAAAUUCCUUCUUUAAGAAAGUACUUUUGACCCCAACAUCUGAAAAACAUAUUUUUCAAUAUUUUCUUCUAAUAGUGUUAAUUUUUAUUUUUCACUUGGACACAUGUGAGAUAUACCUGGGAAACCUGUGAAAGAAAAGGAUCUAAUUAUUUUCCUGUAGGAAAAGCCAUUGUUCCCAGCACUAUUCUUCCCACUUUGUCUUCUGAUAAAACACACAGAUUGAGCUCACCUCUCCACCUGUUGUUGCUGCUUCUGGUGAGCUGUGAUUAUCUGCAUCUACCUGUGUCUCUGGCUUUGGGGUCCUGUGACCUCCAUUCUCUGAUGACUCUAUGAAGUGUUGGUGAUUUUCACUUUGUUCAGCUUUUUCUUAUUAUAAAGAUGAGAGAGAAGACUUCCAAGAUCUUACAUGUUUAACUAGAAAUAAAAUUCUCUGGCUUUAACAAUUGUUUAAAUAUUUUUUAUUUCAGUUGUACUUGC